UAAAAAGCUCGUAGUUGGAUUUCUAAGCCUGCCAGUUCCGUCUGACCUUUAAGAGUCAGCACGGUGCCUGGCGUGUCUUAUUAUGCGUUUAAUGGCGUUUGCUAUUCGUUUAGCGAGUGCCGUGAGAGCGCGUGUUUACUUUGAGAAAAUUAGAGUGUUCAAAACAGUCUUUCGAUUGUAUAUCAUAGCAUGGAAUAAUAACUGAUGACAACGGUCUCUGUUGUUGGCUUUCGGUGACUGAUGUAAUGAUUGAUAGAGUCAGUCGGAGGCAUUAGUAUUUUAUCGUUAGAGGUGAAAUUCACAGAUCGAUAAAAGACUAACAACUGCGAAAGCAUUUGUCUAGGAUGUGCUCUUUGAUCAAGAACGAAAGUUGGGGGAUCGAAGACGAUCAGAUACCGUCGUAGUCUCAACUAUAAACUAUACCAGCUAGGGAUUGGCGAAUGUUUGUUUGACUUCGUCAGAACCUUAUGAGAAAUCAAAGCAUUUGGGUUCCGGGGGGAGUAUGGUCGCAAGGCUGAAACUUAAAGGAAUUGACGGAAGGGCACCACAAGCCGUGGAUCCUGUGGCUUAAUUUGACUCAACACGGGAAAACUUACCAGGUCCGGACAUAGUUAGGAUUGACAGAUUGAGAGCUCUUUCUUGAUUCUAUGGGUGGUGGUGCAUGGCCGUUCUUAGUUGGUGGAGUGAUUUGUCUGGUUAAUUCCGUUAACGAACGAGACCGCCACCUGCUAAAUAGCUUACUGGACUUUUGUUCAUUUGGCUUCUUAGAGGGACUGUUCGGCGUCCAACCGAAAGGAAGUUGGCGGCAAUAACAGGUCUGUGAUGCCCUUAGAUGUUCUGGGCCGCGCACGGGCUACAAUGGCGGAUACAACAAGCCCUCACUAUCCCGGUUCGAAAGGAUCGGGGAAUCUUGAACAUCUCGCCAUGGUUGGGAUCGGACAUUGUAAUUAUUGUCCGUGAACGAGGAAUGCCUAGUAGAUACAGGUCAUUAGCCUGUGUCGACUACGUCCCUGCCCUUUGUACACACCGCCCGUCGCUCCUACCGAUUGGAUGAAUUGGUGAGUAAACAGGAUUCUUGGGCUAGCGGCUUCGGCCGCUGCUCGGGGAGNAAAGUAUGCUAACUCGCGC
rnacentral:rRNA from 1 species